rnacentral:rRNA from 1 species
GGAAGGUAGUUACAGGAAAUUUGUUGCAUGGGGUUCUACCCCAGACACAAACGAACACAUGUAAGUAUUGUGUGUUUAAUUGGAGGGCAAGUUUUGGUGCCAGCAGCCGCGGUAAUUCCAACUCCAAGAGUGUAUCUUAAUGUUGCUGCAGUUAAAAAGCUCGUAGUUGAACUUCUGGCUAGUGGAGGUCCCCCGGGAUCAUUCGCUAGUCAUCCGCUCGGAGAAGCAGUAUUUCCUUUACUGGUUUUACUGUAGACCCAGCAUUUUACUUUGAAGAAAUUAGAGUGUUCCUGGCAGGCUUAGCUUGCAUAUAUUAGCAUGGAAUAAUGGAAUAGGACCUUGUCUGUUUUAUUGGUUGACAGAUAGGUAAUGAUUAACAGGGACAGUCGGGGGCAUUCGUACUCAGUGGCUAGAGGUGAAAUUCUUAGAUUCGCUGAAGACGAACUAAUGCGAAAGCAUUUGCCAAGGAUGUUUUCAUUAAUCAAGAACGAAAGUUAGGGGAUCAAAGACGAUUAGAUACCGUCGUAGUCCUAG